rnacentral:rRNA from 1 species
CUACGGAGGGUGCAAGCGUUACUCGGAAUCACUGGGCGUAAAGCGCGCGCAGGCGGCUAUUUAAGUUGGAUGUGAAAGCCUACGGCUCAACCGUAGAACUGCAUCCAAAACUAUUUAGCUAGAGUGUGGGAGAGGAAGAUGGAAUUAGUUGUGUAGGGGUAAAAUCCGUAGAGAUAACUAGGAAUACCAAAAGCGAAGGCAAUCUUCUGGAACACUACUGACGCUGAGGCGCGAAAGCGUGGGAAGCAAACAGGAUUAGAAACCCUAGUAGUCC